rnacentral:rRNA from 1 species
UACGUAGGGUGCGAGCGUUAAUCGGAAUUACUGGGCGUAAAGCGUGCGCAGGCGGUUCGUUGUGUCGGCGGUGAAAGCCCCGGGCUUAACCUGGGAAUGGCCGUUGAAACUGGCGAACUGGAGUGUGGCAGAGGGGGGUGGAAUUCCCGGUGUAGCGGUGAAAUGCGUAGAGAUGCGGAGGAACACCGAUGGCGAAGGCAGCCCCCUGGGCUGACACUGACGCUCAGGCACGAAAGCGUGGGGAGCAAACAGG